UACGUAGGGUGCAAGCGUUAUCCGGAAUUAUUGGGCGUAAAGAGCUCGUAGGCGGUUUGUCGCGUCUGCUGUGAAAACUGGAGGCUCAACCUCCAGCCUGCAGUGGGUACGGGCAAACUAGAGUGCGGUAGGGGAGAUUGGAAUUCCUGGUGUAGCGGUGGAAUGCGCAGAUAUCAGGAGGAACACCGAUGGCGAAGGCAGAUCUCUGGGCCGUAACUGACGCUGAGGAGCGAAAGCAUGGGGAGCAAACAGG
rnacentral:rRNA from 1 species